ensembl:lncRNA
GUCAGCGGGAAGACAGAUGGGGAAGCACCUCCUUAAAACGAAAGCAGCAGCUAAAGUUUCGCACUGUCUUCUUGGGCAGACUCUCUAAGUUUGUUUUGUCUUCAUGGCACAACAGAGUUCUCUUCCCACCUGUCUUCCUACAACGGUAUCACCUCGGUAUUGUCUCCGUCUUAAAUGGAGGCUGAAUUUUAACAUCGGUGUAUCUAGAACACACUUUUCAACUCUCCAGGAGAAAAUCCAUCUGUAAGCUGAAUUGUGUGUUCAUCUUCAAGCCAUCGUGAGCUCUGAGCAGCCCUCACAGAAGGACUCAGCUGAAAAGUGUAAGAGCUGUACUGAGCACUGCUUUCCUAAGCCUUGUUAGGCAAGAAGAGAGAAUUUUAUUUUCCUCAAUUUGUUAAUGAGAAGUGAGGAAAAGUGAGUUGUUGCCUAAGGCAGAAGUGGAAUGAAGACUUGGCCUUAAGUUUACAAAAGUUAAGUCAUGGCUCUCCCUACUAACUGGACUCUGUUAUCAUAUCAAACCAUCAUCUCUUUUUCUGAGUCUACAG